rnacentral:rRNA from 1 species
GUGAGCGUUGUCGAAGAAGAGUGGGUAAGAGGAAGGUGGCAAGGGUGGUUCGGAUUUACUGGGCCGAAAGCAGGCGCAGGCGGAUUAGUAAGCCAGAUUUGAGAGCCCGGGGCUCAACCCCGGAACUGCGUCUGGAACUGGUAAUCUAGAGUGAUGGAGGGGAGAGCGGAAUUUCGCAUGUAGGGGUAAAAUCCGUAGAGAUGCGAAGGAACACCAGAGCCGAAGGGGGCUCUCUGGCCAUCAACUGACGCUGAGGCGCGAAAGCGUGGGGAGCAAACAGGAUUAGAUACCCGGGUAGUC